CAGAGUGAACGCUGGCGGCAGGCCUAAUACAUGCAAGUCGAACGGCAGCACAGCAGAGCUUGCUCUGUGGGUGGCGAGUGGCGGACGGGUGAGGAAUACGUGGGAAUCUGCCCAGUCGUGGGGGAUAACGUAGGGAAACUUACGCUAAUACCGCAUGCGCCCUUCGGGGGAAAGCCGGGGACCUUCGGGCCUGGCGCGAUUGGAUGAGCCCACGUCGGAUUAGCUAGUUGGCGGGUAAAGGCCCACCAAGGCGACGAUCCGUAGCUGGUCUGAGAGGAUGAUCAGCCACACUGGAACUGAGACACGGUCCAGACUCCUACGGGAGGCAGCAGUAGGGAGUAUUGGACAAUGGGCGCAAGCCUGAUCCAGCCAUGCCGCGUGAGUGAAGAAGGCCCUCGGGUUGUAAAGCUCUUUUGUCCGGAAAGAAAAGCGCCGGGUUAAUACCCUGGUGUCCUGACGGUACCGGAAGAAUAAGCACCGGCUAACUUCGUG
rnacentral:rRNA from 1 species